GAGAGAGAAGCAGAACUUCUCAUACCCACCAGUUCACGUACAGUCACUUUUGUGGCAAAUCAUAGGGGAGGGAGAUGCCUAGUCUAAUAAUAAUAGUAAUAGAUAGGAGACUGGUAUUUACUCUACUUCAUGGGCUGCAGUGAUGUUCUCCCUUAUUGCUCAGACUCCACUGAUGUUUACAUUUCAGGAUGCUGGAUGUUAUAUCAGGACAUAAGUUGGUAGGGAGGGAAUUGUUUUGUUGAGAAGAAAUUGGAAAUGGUAAGAGAGACGUAUGGGUUGAGUGUAUUCUAAUUAAUGAGAAUUAUGCUGGAUUUUUUUAAAACAAUCCUUCUUAUUUUCAACCUUAUUCUCUUUGGGGUGAAUUUCAUACAUGCUUAUAUUAUCCAGCUGCCUUUUUGAUUCAAAACAUGGUAGACCAUAGAGCCAGCAGGAGUUAAUCGCACAGUCUGAAAAGAAAUGGAUUCUUUUCUCCCUCUGUUCCAUGUUCUCUCUGGCUUCAUCUGCAUUAGGAAGCAUUUAGCAAAUAAAAGAUUAGGCCAUUUAUAUAAAGAUGAUGAUCAAGCCAUGUAUAGAAUGAUGAUGGCUGUCUAAGACAAUAUGCACAGAGGACAGACAGACAGACAGAGCGAAAGAAGAAUAGCAAAUUGCAACUGAAAAAACGGGGGCAUAAAUCCUUAGUUCAGUUGAUCAUAUAUGCAUUAUUUCUUGGGUAUUAUCGUUGUGUUUUCCCAAGUGGUUAGUUGUUGGCAGGACAAGAGAGAGCUCUUUCUGUGUUACAACAUACAAAAGAGAUUAUGCUUAAACGAGCUAGGCCACUUCUACAACAGGUCUCUUCUCGGUCAGCCUUUUUUGCUGUAGCUCUCACGUUAGGACACACAAAUGCACAGCUUGUUCCUAAUAACUGCUGGUUUGUGUUAUUAAUAACGUAGUGCAACUAACCAUGUUGGGUUUUGUUCACAGGUCUGAAGCGUAGUUACACUUGUAACAUCUGUAAUGUCACUCUAAACUCAAUAGAACAGUAUCACGCUCAUCUGAAGGGCUCCAAACAUCAGACCAACCUGAAGAAUCAAUAGUGAUUCAUCAAUCAAAAGAAGGAAAAAACAUCAAGAUUUUUUCUGUAAAGAAGAGUCUAUUAACCAAUAGAAAGGAUGCUUUCUUGGACAAUGAGCAUUUCCUAUGUGGAUUCAUUAAUUAACGUAUAACUAAAUCUUCACUUUGGACAAAUACAUGGAUUUUCUUUUUAAUUUUGUGGUGAGUUAAAAUAUUUGGAUGGAUUUUUUUUUUUACCUUUUCAAGAUAAUAUAGUCAGCACACAGUCUAAAGUAUGAUAAAUAUCCUUUAAGAAACAGCAUCUAAACAUCACUCAUCCUCAAAGACAGUGGAAAUAAAAUAUUUUAUUUUUUUCAUAUUUAUUCUUAGAUUUCUUCUGAGAAUAUAAAAUUGCUCUAUUAAAUUAUCCAUGAUUGUGAUGUAAUCAGUCUUCAACCAGAAAUAAACAUGAUUUCUUCACCUUC